rnacentral:rRNA from 1 species
UUCGGUGGUGGAUUAGUGGCGAACGGGUGAGUAACACGUGGGCAAUCUGCCCUGCACUCUGGGACAAGCCCUGGAAACGGGGUCUAAUACCGGAUACGACACAUGAAGGCAUCUUCUAUGUGUGGAAAGCUCCGGCGGUGCAGGAUGAGCCCGCGGCCUAUCAGCUUGUUGGUGGGGUGAUGGCCUACCAAGGCGACGACGGGUAGCCGGCCUGAGAGGGCGACCGGCCACACUGGGACUGAGACACGGCCCAGACUCCUACGGGAGGCAGCAGUGGGGAAUAUUGCACAAUGGGCGAAAGCCUGAUGCAGCGACGCCGCGUGAGGGAUGACGGCCUUCGGGUUGUAAACCUCUUUCAGCAGGGAAGAAGCGCAAGUGACGGUACCUGCAGAAGAAGCACCGGCUAACUACGUGCCAGCAGCCGCGGUAAUACGUAGGGUGCGAGCGUUGUCCGGAAUUAUUGGGCGUAAAGAGCUCGUAGGCGGCUUGUCACGUCGGAUGUGAAAGCCCGGGGCUUAACCCCGGGUCUGCAUUCGAUACGGGCAGGCUAGAGUUCGGUAGGGGAGAUCGGAAUUCCUGGUGUAGCGGUGAAAUGCGCAGAUAUCAGGAGGAACACCGGUGGCGAAGGCGGAUCUCUGGGCCGAUACUGACGCUGAGGAGCGAAAGCGUGGGGAGCGAACAGGAUUAGAUACCCUGGUAGUCCACGCCGUAAACGUUGGGAACUAGGUGUGGGCGACAUUCCACGUCGUCCGUGCCGCAGCUAACGCAUUAAGUU